UACGAGGGGGGCGAGCGUUGUUCGGAAUUAUUGGGCGUAAAGGGUGCGUAGGCGGUUUGGUAAGUCUUGUGUGAAAUCUCCAGGCUCAACUUGGAGUCUGCACGAGAAACUGCCGGGCUUGAGUGUGGAAGAGGUGAGUGGAAUUCCUGGUGUAGCGGUGAAAUGCGUAGAUAUCAGGAGGAACACCAAUGGCGAAGGCAGCUCGCUGGGACGUGACUGACGCUGAGACGCGAAAGCGUGGGGAGCAAACAGG
rnacentral:rRNA from 1 species